rnacentral:rRNA from 1 species
GAUGUUAGCGGCGGACGGGUGAGUAACACGUGGGUAACCUGCCUGUAAGACUGGGAUAACUCCGGGAAACCGGGGCUAAUACCGGAUGGUUGUUUGAACCGCAUGGUUCAAACAUAAAAGGUGGCUUCGGCUACCACUUACAGAUGGACCCGCGGCGCAUUAGCUAGUUGGUGAGGUAACGGCUCACCAAGGCAACGAUGCGUAGCCGACCUGAGAGGGUGAUCGGCCAC